rnacentral:rRNA from 1 species
UACGAAGGGGACUAGCGUUGUUCGGAUUUACUGGGCGUAAAGCGCGCGUAGGCGGAUCACUAAGUCAGGGGUGAAAUCCCGAGGCUUAACCUCGGAACUGCCUUUGAUACUGGAGAUCUGGAGAUCGGGAGAGGUUGGUGGAAUUCCGAGUGUAGAGGUGAAAUUCGUAGAUAUUCGGAGGAACACCAGGAGCGAAGGCGGCCAACUGGCCCGAUACUGACGCUGAGGCGCGAAAGCGUGGGGAGCAAACAGG